rnacentral:rRNA from 1 species
AGCCAGACUCCUACGGGAGGCAGCAGUGGGGGAUAUUGCACAAUGGGGGAAACCCUGAUGCAGCAACGCCGCGUGAGUGAAGAAGUGUUUCGGUAUGUAAAGCUCUGUCAGCAGGGAAGAGAAUGACGGUACCUGACUAAGAAGCCCCGGCUAACUACGUGCCAGCAGCCGCGGUAAUACGUAGGGGGCGAGCGUUAUCCGGAUUUACUGGGUGUAAAGGGAGCGUAGACGGCUGGUCAAGUCUGAAGUGAAAGCCCGGGGCUUAACCCCGGAACGGCUUUGGAAACUGUAUGGCUGGAGUGCAGGAGAGGUAAGUGGAAUUCCUAGUGUAGCGGUGAAAUGCGUAGAUAUUAGGAGGAACACCAGUGGCGAAGGCGGCUUACUGGACUGUAACUGACGUUGAGGCUCGAAAGCGUGGGGAGCAAACAGGAUUAGAUACCCGGGUACG